CCUACGGGGUGCAGCAGUGGGGAAUAUUGGGCAAUGGACGCAACCCUUACCCAGCAACGCCGCGUGAAGGAAGAAGGUUUUCGGGUUGUAAACUUCUUUUAUCAGGGACGAAGCAAGUGACGGUACCUGAUGAAUAAGCCACGGCUAACUACGUGCCAGCAGCCGCGGUAAUACGUAGGUGGCAAGCGUUUUCCGGAUUUACUGGGUGUAAAGGGGGUGUAGGCGGGAGUGCAAGUCAGAUGUGAAAACUAUGGGCUGAACCCAUAGACUUCAUUUGAAACUGUACUUCUUGAGUGCUGGAGAGGAAAGCGGAAUUCCGUGUGUAGCGGUGAAAUGCGUAGAUAUAAGGAGGAACACCAGUGGCGAAGGCGGAUUGCUGGACAGUAACUGACGCUGAGGCGCGAAAGCGUGGGGAGCAAACAGGAUUAGAUACCCUAGUAGUC
rnacentral:rRNA from 1 species